UACGUAGGGUCCGAGCGUUAAUCGGAAUUAAUGGGCGUAAAGCGUGCGCAGGCGGUUUUGUAAGGCAGAUGUGAAAGCCCCGGGCUCAACCUGGGAACAGCGCUUGAGACUGGCACGCUCGAGUUCGGGAGAGGAUGGUGGAAUUCCCAGUGUAGAGGUGAAAUUCGUAGAUAUUGGGAAGAACACCGAUGGCGAAGGCAGCCAUCUGGACCGACACUGACGCUGAGGCGCGAAAGCGUGGGGAGCAAACAGG
rnacentral:rRNA from 1 species